CCGUCGAGGACGAGGCAGCAGUAGAGAAUAUUGUGCAAUGUACGGCAGUAUGACACAGAGAGCACACGCCCUCUUGGCCUGUCCAACUAAGUGCCAGCAGACGCGGUUAGACUUAGGGGCCAAGCCUUUAUGAGCAAAGGGGCGUAAAGGGUGUGUAGGCCGACUGCCCCACCCCCCCAAGGUGGUAAAUGGAAUUUUUCUGUAGCGGUAGAAUGUGCGGAUAGAAAAUAGAACCCCAAAAGCAGAAGCAAUUUACCGCGGGGCGGGAGGGGGGGCCCCUUGGGGCGCCCCUCCGGGCUACGGGCUGAAACACGAGGGUGUGGGGAACAAACAGGAUUAGAGACCCUGGUAGUCCACACUGUAAACGAUGGAGAAAAUGCGAAUGCAGCCCCGAAAGGCAGCAAUCUCCCGCCUGAGUAGUACGAUCGCAAGAUUAAAAUUCAAAAAAUUUGGCUGUUCACCGUUUCGAUUAGAGGAGCGUGUAGUUUAAUUCGAUAAACCGCGAGAUACCUUACCCAAACUUGAAUCCUUGAGGAUUCCAAGGAAUCCUUAUGGACCGGUAUUGCAUGGCCGUCGUCAGUUCGUGUAUGAAACCUUAAACGGACCCAACCCGAGGAUUAGCCGCGGAUGAAGUCAGGUCUUAUGGUCCCAAUGUUUGGGGAUAAUAUGCGCUACAUUUUCUUAUACAAUGGGAAACCUGGGAGGUGAAACCCAAAAGUGAGAGUUCGGUAGGCUAUUGGAAGAUGGCCGAAAGUUGAAUUUAAUAGUAAUCGGAAAGUAUAGCGUUCCGGUGAAAAUGGUCUAGGUGUUAGCACAAAUCGCCCGUCACCUUAACUUAGGAUGAUGGUUCGGACG
rnacentral:rRNA from 1 species